rnacentral:rRNA from 1 species
AUUGAACGCUGGCGGCAGGCUUAACACAUGCAAGUCGAGCGAGCGCCGGGCGGGUGAGUAAUGUCUGGGAAACUGCCUGAUGGAGGGGGAUAACUACUGGAAACGGUAGCUAAUACCGCAUACCAUCAGAUGUGCCCCGAUGGGCUUGGCUAGUAGGUGGGGUAAUGGCUCACCUAGGCGACGAUCCCUAGCUGGGCUGAGAGGAUGACCGGCCACACUGGAAAGGAGACACGGUCCAGACUCCUACGGGAGGCAGCAGUGGGGAAUAUUGCACAAUGGGCGCGAGCCUGAUGCAGCCAUGCCGCGUGUGUGAAGAAGGCCUUCGGGUUGUAAAGCACUUUCAGCGAGGAGGCGGUACUCGCAGAAGAAGCACCGGCUAACUCCGUGCCAGCAGCCGCGGUAAUUC